GCCGGAUAAGGCGUUUACGCCCCAUCAGGCAAUUGUGCACCAAUUGCCUGAUGCGACGCAGGCGCGUCUUAUCAGGCC
rnacentral:ncRNA from 1 species